CCAUGGCUCAGUGGUACAGCAUCUGCUUUGCAUGCAGAAGAUCCCAGGUUCAAUCCCUGGGGAGAUGGG